rnacentral:misc_RNA from 1 species
GAAUAAAUAAAUAAAUAAAAAUAGAUGAUACGUUUGAGACAUUGUUUUCACAGCAGUUGUACACGAGAAAGGCUUAUAAACAUCCAAUUAUACGCUGUUCAAAAGAAUAGUUAAUUUCCUUGUGUCAUUCUUAUUGCCUUUCAAGUUGCAAAUACAAAUUAUUAGUAAAGGAAAAAUAUAAAUAUAUGUUUUACAAACGUUCUACAAAAUGCUCUUAAGGAAAUUAUAUGCCAAUCAUUUAAAAUUAAUGCUCCCUUGGGUAUGUAUAAUGUUACUUGCCAUUUUUUUUCAUAUAAAAGAAGCGGAUGCAUUUUUUUAUUAUAAUCGAGGUAACAUACUUUAGACAUGUUCUUG